UAUAACACUAUCCUCAGGAGCCAAAAAAUCUUACCACACUAUAGGUGAAACCGCAUUAUAUUGAACUUAGUUUAAUCCAUCGGAGUGCGCAGCCUUCCCGCCCGGAGCACUGCUUUUCCGCGUUUUAUCUGAAUUUGUGUUAUAUCGGGUGAUGUUAUAUCGAGGUAGAGGUGUACUGAAGCUAACAGAGA